AGAGUUUGAUCAUGGCUCAGAUUGAACGCUGGCGGCAGGCCUAACACAUGCAAGUCGAGCGGUAGCACAGAGAGCUUGCUCUCGGGUGACGAGCGGCGGACGGGUGAGUAAUGUCUGGGAAACUGCCUGAUGGAGGGGGAUAACUACUGGAAACGGUAGCUAAUACCGCAUAAUGUCGCAAGACCAAAGUGGGGGACCUUCGGGCCUCAUGCCAUCAGAUGUGCCCAGAUGGGAUUAGCUAGUAGGUGGGGUAACGGCUCACCUAGGCGACGAUCCCUAGCUGGUCUGAGAGGAUGACCAGCCACACUGGAACUGAGACACGGUCCAGACUCCUACGGGAGGCAGCAGUGGGGAAUAUUGCACAAUGGGCGCAAGCCUGAUGCAGCCAUGCCGCGUGUGUGAAGAAGGCCUUCGGGUUGUAAAGCACUUUCAGCGGGGAGGAAGGCGAUAAGGUUAAUAACCUUGUCGAUUGACGUUACCCGCAGAAGAAGCACCGGCUAACUCCGUGCCAGCAGCCGCGGUAAUACGGAGGGUGCAAGCGUUAAUCGGAAUUACUGGGCGUAAAGCGCACGCAGGCGGUCUGUCAAGUCGGAUGUGAAAUCCCCGGGCUCAACCUGGGAACUGCAUUCGAAACUGGCAGGCUAGAGUCUUGUAGAGGGGGGUAGAAUUCCAGGUGUAGCGGUGAAAUGCGUAGAGAUCUGGAGGAAUACCGGUGGCGAAGGCGGCCCCCUGGACAAAGACUGACGCUCAGGUGCGAAAGCGUGGGGAGCAAACAGGAUUAGAUACCCUGGUAGUCCACGCCGUAAACGAUGUCGAUUUGGAGGUUGUGCCCUUGAGGCGUGGCUUCCGGAGCUAACGCGUUAAAUCGACCGCCUGGGGAGUACGGCCGCAAGGUUAAAACUCAAAUGAAUUGACGGGGGCCCGCACAAGCGGUGGAGCAUGUGGUUUAAUUCGAUGCAACGCGAAGAACCUUACCUGGUCUUGACAUCCACAGAACUUUCCAGAGAUGGAUUGGUGCCUUCGGGAACUGUGAGACAGGUGCUGCAUGGCUGUCGUCAGCUCGUGUUGUGAAAUGUUGGGUUAAGUCCCGCAACGAGCGCAACCCUUAUCCUUUGUUGCCAGCGGUUAGGCCGGGAACUCAAAGGAGACUGCCAGUGAUAAACUGGAGGAAGGUGGGGACGACGUCAAGUCAUCAUGGCCCUUACGACCAGGGCUACACACGUGCUACAAUGGCAUAUACAAAGAGAAGCGACCUCGCGAGAGCAAGCGGACCUCAUAAAGUAUGUCGUAGUCCGGAUUGGAGUCUGCAACUCGACUCCAUGAAGUCGGAAUCGCUAGUAAUCGUAGAUCAGAAUGCUACGGUGAAUACGUUCCCGGGCCUUGUACACACCGCCCGUCACACCAUGGGAGUGGGUUGCAAAAGAAGUAGGUAGCUUAACCUUCGGGAGGGCGCUUACCACUUUGUGAUUCAUGACUGGGGUGAAGUCGUAACAAGGUAACCGUAGGGGAACCUGCGGUUGGAUCACCU
rnacentral:rRNA from 1 species